AGUUCAUGAUGAUGACACUUUUGUAAUAAAUCUUUGUAUCUCUCAUAUGCUUCAUGCAAAUAUUCAUUCUCAAAUUGAGUAAACAUAGUAAUAUCAUUCCUUAGCUU
rfam:Populus trichocarpa scaffold_5_contig_394, whole genome shotgun sequence.